GUGAUAUCCGUUCAUGUACCUUGUCUGCAAGUGAUUCCCGACGUUUCAGCACCUAGGCAAGAGUGCUUGGACAGUGGAUUGCUGAAAGGAAAAACACCUAGUUGGUUACAUACUACAAGGCAACAGCAAAUGUAAGAUCAAUCACAACAGAUGGUGAAACACUACCCUGUCUCACAACAACAGCAUGUUCCAGGCUCAUGCGAUCCUCACACAAUAGGAACUGGGCAUGUGAUUGUUUUAAUAAUCACCUGUAUCACCCUUUUAGCUUUAUUCCUGUCAUUCUGCACUUUACCUAACCUGUGAUAAAUCUUUCUUUUUGAAUGAA